rnacentral:SRP_RNA from 1 species
GCUGGGUGUGGUGGUGCAUGCCUGUGAUCCCAGCUACUCGGGAGGCUGAGGCAGGAGAAUUGCUUGAACCUAGGAGGCAGAGGUUGCGGUGAGCUGAGAUCACACCACUGCACUCUAGCCUGGGUGACAGAGCAAGACUUUGCCUCAA